rnacentral:tRNA from 1 species
GCUAUUUUGGCAGAUUAGUGCAAUAAAUUUAGAAUUUAUUUAUGUAAUUUAUAUUACAAGUAGUA